AGAUGACACAAUUUCCUCUAAAAGCAUGCGACAUCACAAGAACAUAAAGCAGAAAAAUAACAAAGGUAACUCGAAAGGUCCAUGGUAAAAUAAUGGCGGAACGUGUAAACUGAACGUAAACAGGUAGACUCCAGUGGAAACUUCUUGAUGUCAAUUGGUGAUCUCCCAUGACAGGAUGACGAUGACACCUUGAAUGUAGUCUUUAGUUCCUUGAGGUAUCUGGUUAAACUG